rnacentral:rRNA from 1 species
GACGAACGCUGGCGGCGUGGAUUAGGCAUGCAAGUCGAACGGUAUCAUCCUUCGGGGGUGAGAGAGUGGCGAACUGGUGAGUAACACGUAGGUUAUCUACCCUCAAGACGGGGACAACCCAGGGAAACUUGGGCUAAUACCGGAUGUGAGCAACUUUUAGUUGUUUGAAAGGUGGCGUAAGCUGUCGCUUGGGGAUGAGCCUGCGUCCUAUUAGUAGUUGGUGAGGUAACGGCUCACCUAGGCAAUGAUAGGUAGGCGGCCUUAACGGGUGGUCGCCCACACUGGGAUUGAGAUACGGCCCAGACUCCUACGGGAGGCAGCAGUCGAGAAUAGUCUACAAUGGUCGGAAGACUGAUAGUGCGACGCCGCGUGAACGAUGAAUCCCUUCGGGGUGUAAAGUUCUUUUAUAUGUGAGCAGUGCUUCUUAUAUUAACAGUAUGGGGAGAGAGAUAUUAGCAUAUGAAUAAGCAACGGCUAACUCCGUG